rnacentral:lncRNA from 1 species
UGCUGGCGCAAGUCGUCUUGCGUCGGGGGACUGGGUCUGAGGAGGCAGGAGUUAUUCAUUCCCUUAAGCUUUCAGGCCGGGGGGAGAAUCUUUCAGGUGGUAGCUGCAAGAACUCUUAGUAUGUUGACCUCACCUCUGCCUUCCACAUACCACUACCAGUGAGGAAUUAGGAAUGCAUGAGAAGAGUGUCCGAGAAGAGUGUCCUCAUUCAUGCAAGGCUUAAGAGAGAAUGGAGGUCAACAUCACCAUGUCAAUCAGAGAAUACUUCUGUUGGGUUGAAUGACUCUCUGCCCCCAGUCUGACUGGUUGGGAGAGGCCCUUUUCCCAGCCUUUGUGAAAGAGAUCUUCAUGUAAACAGAGUCCCUCUUACUGGCUGAAGUGAAGAGUCAUUCUGAGGCAUCUCAAGAUGAAGGUUUCCUAUUUGUGAUUAUGAAAAAAAUGUCAAGAACAAGUCCCUUGGUGUUCUUAGACCGAAGUCAGAACAACAGACCUAGUCAAGAGGAACAGCAUCAAUUGUUAAUAUGCUGUCUGCAUUUAACCCCCAAAGGAUUAUUUUCAGAAUGAAAUGAUCUGUGGUCUUUAAGGGGUGGGGAUGGGAGGAGCUGAAGAACUCUUGGUCCUUCAAAGAGGUCCCAGUGGACUUGAUUUCUCAGUGGAAACAAAGGGAUUUCCUUCUGCAGUGGGAAAGAGACACGAAGUGAUAAACCGAGCACCCUCUUUGAAGAUUUCCCAGUAUAUUGUCCC